CAAGCGUUAAUCGGAAUUACUGGGCGUAAAGCGCACGCAGGCGGUUUGUUAAGUCAGAUGUGAAAUCCCCGCGCUUAACGUGGGAACUGCAUUUGAAACUGGCAAGCUAGAGUCUUGUAGAGGGGGGUAGAAUUCCAGGUGUAGCGGUGAAAUGCGUAGAGAUCUGGAGGAAUACCGGUGGCGAAGGCGGCCCCCUGGACAAAGACUGACGCUCAGGUGCGAAAGCGUGGGGAGCAAACAGGAUUAGAUACCCUGGUAGUCCACGCUGUAAACGAUGUCGACUUGGAGGUUGUGCCCUUGAGGCGUGGCUUCCGGAGCUAACGCGUUAAGUCGACCGCCUGGGGAGUACGGCCGCAAGGUUAAAACUCAAAUGAAUUGACGGGGGCCCGCACAAGCGGUGGAGCAUGUGGUUUAAUUCGAUGCAACGCGAAGAACCUUACCUACUCUUGACAUCCAGAGAAUUCGCUAGAGAUAGCUUAGUGC
rnacentral:rRNA from 1 species